rnacentral:rRNA from 1 species
GUCUAUGGCCAUGCCAUCCUGAACACACCUAAUCUCAUCUGAUCUCAGAAAGCUAAGUGGGAUUGAGCCUGGUUAUUACUUGAAUGGAAAGACAUAGCUA